rnacentral:sRNA from 1 species
AAAAAGAUACUCCUGCGCUUAUCAUAAGGGUUUGAUAAGGCUAAUGUUAAACGUUUGCGUCCUCGCGGCCUGCUUCAGCGUGCUUAUCCAUUGUCAUUGUGCUGGCUGAGAUACGUCUGGCAGGCGGGACGUCUUUAAAAAAGGGCCAACAGCGACGGUUUGCCGGUGUUGCGCAACGCAAGGCGGGGAUUCUAUCAAGCUGACGCAAAGAAAACGAGAUUUUUACCGGUGAGUAUGGGAAAAUCUAUACCGUUAUUGUUUGUGUGGUUAAAGGAGAGGCCGGGUGAGCACCGAUUUAAAGCUGUCGUUAAGCACCACUGUCGCAGCAUUGCUGAUGAUCAUCGCUUUCAGCUUAACCGCUGUCAUGCAUUGAUCG